rnacentral:ncRNA from 1 species
AAUAUAAAGCGCCAGAGCUCACUUGAGCUGACGAGGACAUGGUUUAUCGAAGUUUCGGCGGGUGCCAUGGGGUGAAACUACCAUCCUUAAAGCUGUACAAAACCUGUAAGUGAUUAUAGGGACAAAUAUAG